GCACGCUACUUUGUUGGCCCCUGGGGAGGUGGUGCAGCCAGGCGGGUAAGGAGGACUCGCGCCAUCAGCGGGGUCUGAGACAUGGUGUGCCCAGUGGGCAGAGAAUAGGCCUGUGGUUUUUAAGAACCUCACUGAUAUCGAAUGUGUCUUGGAGUGAGAAAGUUUUUAAUGGAAAAGGAGCAAGAGAGAGUAAUGAAAUAAUUUGCUAAGUGCCUACUAUGUUCCAGGCAUUUUACAUCCACAGUCUCUUUCAAUCAACACGUCCAUGCGGAGGAGAGCUUCUUGUCGCCCAUUAUAAAGGCUGGGGAGAGACCGGGAAGAGCGAGAAGCUACACGCUGGGCUGCAGAUUGGGCCCUAGCGGGCUUGGAGCGUGGAUAUGCUGGCUGGCCCCCCUCCCCGGGAGUCACAGCUCUCGCCGGUCUCGCCACUCAGGCUCUGCCGGGUACCCAGGAGGCUUGC
ensembl:lncRNA novel transcript